rnacentral:rRNA from 1 species
GACGAACGCUGGCGGCGUGCUUAACACAUGCAAGUCGAACGGAAAGGCCCUGCUUUUGUGGGGUUCUCGAUUGGCGAACGGGUGAGUAACACGUGAGUAACCUGCCCUUGACUUUGGGAUAACUUCAGGAAACUGGGGCUAAUACCGGAUAGGAGCUCCUGCUGCAUGGUGGGGGUUGGAAAGUUUCGGCGGUUGGGGAUGGACUCGCGGCUUAUCAGCUUGUUGGUGGGGUAGUGGCUUACCAAGGCUUUGACGGGUAGCCGGCCUGAGAGGGUGACCGGCCACAUUGGGACUGCGAUACGGCGCAGAAUCCUACGGGACGCAGCAGUGGGGAACCUUGCACAAUGGGCGGAAGCCUGAUGCAGCAACGCCGCGUGCGGGAUGACGGCCUUCGGGUUGUAAACCGCUUUCGCAUGUGACGAAGCGUGCGUGACGGUAAUGGGUAAAGAAGCACCGGCUAACUACGUG